UGCCUUUAAAACUGGUUUCUUGGGGAUGCUCCUAGGCUGCCUGGACAGACAGCUGUAUUGCUGAUAUGCUCUUCUACUAACAAUAAAAAGGGCCCCAAAAAGCCAGCUUGCUACAACAACAGAUGCGUUUUCAGAGAGUAACAUAGGACCACCCUGGAGGAAAAAAGGCAACGUACAUCCAUCUGAAACAGAAACAACACAAUCAUUCUUUUGGGCCUCUCAGUGGUUCUUGAAUUCUCCUGAAAGGAAAUUACAGCUUUUAUUGGGAGCCUCAUCUAAGAAAAAUCUUCAGGAUGGUGUGAAAAUGGAUGUGAAAUAUUCUGUAAGAAAGACAAACAAAUGGUUGCACUACUCCUAGUAUAUUUUAAUGUCUCUUUAACUAACAAGCUCCACAGAAACAUCGGCAUUCAGGCUGUGCUGUACUGAUGCUAGUGCUGUGUAAUGAUUACAAUAAACCUAUUUAGAUGAGGAACACAAGACAUUAUAACAACAAUCCCCAUUACUAGGCAAUUAAGUUUGGUGAGUUUUCUAUGUUUCGCAAGAUUUUUGGUUUAUUUUUGGGGCAAUGUGAAGGGACAGGAUCAUUCUAGUUUCUUAAUAGAGAACAAGGGUUUGAUUAUUUGUGAUCAUUUCAGAUAAUGAUUUUUAGCAGGAGGGAGGGUUGGCAAAGCAGUAAGAGAACUGAAGGGUUUGCCAGUCAAAGACUUUUCAGAGUAAAAUGUCUAGUAUUAGAAUUUGCCACUUUGAAGCAGGUCAGCUUAAUUAAAUAAUUAUGGCCCUAAUAGAUGUGUAGACAUGUAGAAAAUUGUGACUCCGGAGUUCUGUGUUUUUCUAAAACUUGCAUUAAAAUGUUGCAUCAUAUUUGCACCAUAAGCUUUGAAAAGAUGUAUUCAGUAAAACUAGAUAAAUGAUGUCUUGAAUGUCAUUUCUUAAGGACCCCAGAAGCCUUUUUCUUGGUCAUGAAAAAAAUUUAUUUAUUUAUUUUUUCAAUAGUAAGGCUGUCAAAAUGAAAGGAAAAUAUAAAAGCAAACACAAACCCCGAGGGCACUCUGUUUCUUUUGUCCAAACACACACUGUAACAGAAACAAGUGCAAAACAUUAAUAAAUCUAUUCCAGAAGUCAUUAGUCAUCUGUGGU